GACGAACGCUGGCGGCGUGCCUAAUACAUGCAAGUAGAACGCUGAAGGAGGAGCUUGCUUCUCUGGAUGAGUUGCGAACGGGUGAGUAACGCGUAGGUAACCUGCCUGGUAGCGGGGGAUAACUAUUGGAAACGAUAGCUAAUACCGCAUAAGAGUAGAUGUCGCAUGACAUUUGCUUAAAAGGUGCAAUUGCAUCACUACCAGAUGGACCUGCGUUGUAUUAGCUAGUUGGUGAGGUAACGGCUCACCAAGGCAACGAUACAUAGCCGACCUGAGAGGGUGAUCGGCCACACUGGGACUGAGACACGGCCCAGACUCCUACGGGAGGCAGCAGCAGGGAAUCUUCGGCAAUGGACGGAAGUCUGACCGAGCAACGCCGCGUGAGUGAAGAAGGUUUUCGGAUCGUAAAGCUCUGUUGUAAGAGAAGAACGAGUGUGAGAGUGGAAAGUUCACACUGUGACGGUAUCUUACCAGAAAGGGACGGCUAACUACGUG
rnacentral:rRNA from 1 species